UACAGAGGGGGCAAGCGUUAUUCGGAAUUAUUGGGCGUAAAGGGCGCGUAGGCGGCCUGGCAAGUGGAAGGUGAAAUCCCUCGGCUUAACCGAGGAACUGCCCUCCAAACUGCUUGGCUUGAGUCCGGGAGAGGUGAGUGGAAUUCCCAGUGUAGCGGUGAAAUGCGUUGAGAUCGGGAGGAACGCCCGUGGCGAAAGCGAGGUCCUGGACGCCGCCUGACGCUGAGACGCGCAAAGCCAGGGACGAGGC
rnacentral:rRNA from 1 species